rnacentral:rRNA from 1 species
UACAGAGGUCUCAAGCGUUGUUCGGAUUCAUUGGGCGUAAAGGGUGCGUAGGCGGCGCGGUAAGUCGGGUGUGAAAUCUCGGAGCUUAACUCCGAAACUGCAUUCGAUACUGCCGUGCUUGAGUACUUAAGAGGAUCGCGGAAUUCCCGGUGUAGAGGUGAAAUUCGUAGAUAGUCGGGAGGAACACCAGUGGCGAAGGCGGCGAUCUGGGGAAGAUACUGACGCUGAGGUGCGAAAGCGUGGGGAGCAAACAGG